GACGAACGCUGGCGGCGUGCUUAACACAUGCAAGUCGAACGCUGAAGCGUGGUGCUCGUACUGGGCGGAAGAGUGGCGAACGGGUGAGUAAUACGUGAGUAACCUACCCUUGACUCAGGGAUAAGUCUGGGAAGCAGGGUCUAACACUGGAUACGUCAUGUCACUGCAUGGUGGUGUGUGGAAAGGAAUUUACUGGUGUUGGAUGGGCUCACGGCCUAUCAGUUUGGUGGUGGGGUAAUGGCUCACCAAGGCGAGUACGGGUAGCCGGCCGGAGAGGGUGACUGGCGACACUGGGACAGAGAGACGGCACAGACCACUGCGGGAGGCAGCAGUGUGGAAUAUUGCAUGAUCGGCGGAAGCCUCAUGCAGCGACGCCGCGUGAGGGGUGACGGCCUGCGGGUUGUAAACCUCAUCCAGCACGGCGGAAGCGAAAGUGACGGUACGUGAAGAAGAAGCGCCGGCUAACUACGUG
rnacentral:rRNA from 1 species